CUGCAUUUAUUUCAGUUAAAAAAGGUUUAAAUGCAUAAAAAGAUACCAUGUAUAUGUAGUACCUCUCCCAUAUAUGUACUCACUUUAAUUUUCUAAAAAACAUUAUUUAUUUGUAAUUUUUCUGUUAUUUAAAGUGUCAAAAUAUCAUGUGGUGCGACCGUCCGGCCAUGACUGCUGUUGUGAAAACUUCUUUGAAAAUACUCUAAAUCUAUUCAAAUUUAUUUUCUGCCCUAUUUGGCAUGAUAUCUCAAGUGUUUUGUAGUCCUGUACAAAAUUGCAAAGCAUUUGGAUUUAUAUUUCCAUCAUAAUAUACAACCAAACUUUGUCCGAUGAUGUCCAUUUUAUGAAAUAUCAUGUGGUGCGACCAUCAAGAAACGACCACUUUGGGACAAUUAUGUUGCAACUUCCUGUUUUUGAAUGGAUAUCAUCAUUGACCAGUUUGCCAAGGACCCAUGGAAUCAGCAACAGAUGCCAGACAGCCUCCGCCAUGAUGAGGAGGGAGUGUGGGCACACCUGGAGCCCAUACUGAAAGAGCUUCAGGCAACCUGCCAAAAGAUUACAGUUCUACAUGUAGUCAGAUGGACCUGUGGUUGAAUCCGCUGUAAAGACGUCAUGGAGCUUGCGCAUCAAGUGAGAAGUCGAGAUCCAACUAGCAAUCUACCGAUUGCUGAACGACUUCUCUACCACCUGAAAUCACUCUUACCACAGCACUCCAACACGACUAGUUAGAAUCGGGCACUUCGCCAUAACCCUCGUUUGUGUUAAAUAACUGUUUUGAAACUUCCGUCUAUAAUAUAAAUCUUUUCACGUCAGAUUUUCUCAUAUAAGCUAUUGCGGACACUUUAAAAAAAAAAAAAAAAAAAAAAACAGUUUUGAACAAUGGUCUGAUGCAAAUAGAUUAAGCAGUGAUAGAUUAAAGUAUGGCUUGUUAAUGUCAUCCCUUUCCUAACCAGCUUCUUAACGAUUUAGUUAUUGUUGUUGCUGUUAUGAAGUGAAGCAGGGUUAAUUAGGGUUCAGGCUGAGGUUGUGAGGCGUGGCGUGGGGCGUUCAUGUGGGGCAAUUACGUCAUCGGGUUAGAAAAUGUGCGGAUCAGGCGUCCAGACAAACACGGAUCCGCUGGUGGGUUGGAAUCUUUCCACUCUUAAGACCGGUUUCAAAAGGUUGCGGAUUCAGUGACCCAAUCUGCCGGAUUCGUGUGGACGGAGGGCAGAUCCGACAACAUUUCUUUCCGGAUUCAGGCAAUCCAGGUUCCGUGUGGACGGGCCCUUAAGAUUCACCAGGUUUUGUUUUCACAAGCGGCACAAAUAAGUCAUAGGGAGGUGUCAUGCUUUUGAAGCAUGUAGAAAUGAAGACAUGCCUAUGUUACCAGCCAGUAAAAGUAGACCUGAGGGAAACAAUGUGCCACACUGAAGAUCACUCAAGCACUCCUGAGCGACCAGGGAGCAAGCUAGUCUUCAAGACCUGAAUGGCAAGUUUGAUGCGAUUUUUAUAUAAAAAUAUGUUUAUGUAAUGUUUGUGUUCAUGAAAAUUCUAUGAAUUUUUGAAUAAAAUCUGGUUUUAAUCUA